GAAAAGUGUCGGGAGGUCGGGAGCGCGCCCGUGAUUCCGGAGCAGUGGCGGCGUCGCCGGAGUCGGGAGCGAGCAGGCCUGCGAGCUGCUAGGGUGCUAGAGAAGCCGGGGGCUCGGUAAGCGGCUCGGGCCCGGCUGGGUCCUUGAACCUGGCCAACCUUUGCGGGUCCGCCCUACUAGGCCUGGACCCAGAGGCGGCCCUGGGGGCGGGGCCUAAGUGCCGCGGAGACACGGGUGACAGGGCAGAGGGAGGGCUGCGGUUGCUGGGGUUGCUUGCGGCGGGAGGGUCGGGCCUGGGAACUCAGAGUGCUCCUCGCUGCCUUCGAACGCCUGCUACCGGCUUAGUCCUGCCCCUUAGAGGUCCUGCUGGGGCCUCGGGGCGGGCGAGGCGCUGACCUUUGACCCCAGCGCGGGGCUGACCCUGAGCCGGUCAGCUUUUCGAGGAGAGCUGCCCUCUGUGAAGUGUUCAGAUACCCUGGAAGGGCCGGGUCCUGCGCUCUUCAGUCUUUAGCACCCACUUUUUGCAGAGUUAAUAAAACCACUGUUCUUUAAUGGGAUGAGUGGGUGCAAGUCGGGAAACCUGCCCCUUCCCUGGUAUGGUGAAGAAAGACAGUCACUGGGGAAGUUAAGUUGUCCCUGGCGAAUGGAACAGUGGAUACUUCAGCCAUGUCCUAAUAAAAUGUUGCGGGACUAUCCGCACCUCCCCAACACUUCUUUCUAGAAAAAGUUUUAAACUUAAGUUUUUGCAUUUUGCUUGCAAAAUAGGGCAAGCAUGGUGUUUAAACGUGGUUAGUGUUAGAGCCAUCAUGUAUAACCCUAUUUCAGUUCAACCCCUCGCCAGUUCAGAACUAGCUAUGUAGAUCAGGCUA
rnacentral:lncRNA from 1 species